GAUCCUGGCUCAGGACGAACGCUGGCGGCGUGCCUAACACAUGCAAGUCGAACGGAGUUGAAAGGAGCUUGCUUUUUUCAACUCAGUGGCGGACGGGUGAGUAACGCGUGAGUAACCUGCCUUUCAGAGGGGGAUAACGUUCUGAAAAGAACGCUAAUACCGCAUAAGAUUGUAGCUUCGCAUGGAGCAGCAAUCAAAGGAGCAAUCCGCUGAAAGAUGGACUCGCGUCCGAUUAGAUAG
rnacentral:rRNA from 1 species